AUUGAACGCUGGCGGAAUGCUUUACACAUGCAAGUCGGGCGGCAGCGCGGGGGGCAACCCUGGCGGCGAGCGGCGAACGGGUGAGUAAUACAUCGGAACGUGUCCUUGAGUGGGGGAUAGCUCGGCGAAAGCCGGAUUAAUACCGCAUAAGCUCUGAGGAGGAAAGCGGGGGACUGGUAACGGCCUCGCGCUGUUGGAGCGGCCGAUGUCGGAUUAGCUAGUUGGUGGGGUAAAGGCCCACCAAGGCGACGAUCCGUAGCUGGUCUGAGAGGAUGAUCAGCCACACUGGAACUGAGACACGGUCCAGACUCCUACGGGAGGCAGCAGGUGGGGUAAUUUUGGACAAGUGGGGGCAACCCUGAUCCAGCCAUUCCGCGUGAGUGAAGAAGGCC
rnacentral:rRNA from 1 species